rnacentral:rRNA from 1 species
GACGAACGCUGGCGGCGUGCUUAACACAUGCAAGUCGAGCGAGGUCCACCCAGUGGCAACACUGGGGAAGACCUAGCGGCGAACGGGUGAGUAACACGUGAGCAACCUGCCCCGAAGACUGGGAUAACACCGGGAAACCGGUGCUAAUACCGGAUGCCCUCCUCUGGUCGCAUGGCCUAGGGAGGAAAGGACUGUAUCUAAUAAAUGCAGCUGCUUCGGGAGGGGCUCGCGGGCAUCAGCUUGUUGGUGAGGUAACGGCUCACCAAGGCGACGACGGCUAGCUGGUCUGAGAGGACGACCAGCCACACUGGGACUGAGACACGGCCCAGACUCCUACGGGAGGCAGCAGUGGGGAAUCUUGCGCAAUGGGCGAAAGCCUGACGCAGCAACGCCGCGU